CAGCAGCCGCGGGAAUACCAGCACCUCGAGUGGUCAGGAGGUUUAUUGGGCCUAAAGCAUCCGUAGCCGGUUGCAUAAGUUUUCGGUUAAAUCUAUGCGCUUAACGUAUAGGCCGCCGAAAAUACUGUGCAGCUAGGGAGUGGGAGAGGUACACGGUACUCGAUAGGAAGGGGUAAAAUCCUUUGAUCUAUUGAUGACCACCUGUGGCGAAGGCGGUGUACCAGAACACGUUCGACGGUGAGGGAUGAAAGCUGGGGGAGCAAACCGGAUUAGAUACCCGAGUAGUCCCUGUCUCUUAUAC
rnacentral:rRNA from 1 species